rnacentral:rRNA from 1 species
GACGAACGCUGGCGGCGUGCUUAACACAUGCAAGUCGAACGGAAAGGCCCUGCUUUUGUUGGGUGCUCGAGUGGCGAACGGGUGAGUAACACGUGAGUAACCUGCCCUUGACUUUUGGAUAACUUCAGGAAACUGUGGCUAAUACCGGAUAGGAGCUCCUGCUGCAUGGUGUGUGUUGGAAAGUUUCGGCGGUUGGGGAUGGACUCGCGGCUUAUCAGCUUUUUGGUGGGGUAGUGGCUUACCAAGGCUUUGACGGGUAGCCGGCCUGAGAGGGUGACCGGCCACAUUGGGACUGAGAUACGGACCAGACUCCUACGGGAGGCAGCAGGGGGGAAUAUUGCACAAUGGGCGGAAGCCUGAUGCAGCAACGCCGCGUGCGGGAUGACGGCCUUCGGGUUGUAAACCGCUUUCGCCUGUGACGAAGCGUGAGUGACGGUAAUGGGUAAAGAAGCACCGGCUAACUACGUG